ensembl:lncRNA novel transcript
CUAGGACUCUGUGGGGUGGAGUGGUGUGGCUGCAUCAGCUCAGGUUCCUUGAGAACGUGUCCACAAAACUGGAAUUCCAUGGUGGCCCUGUUGAGGAGCCCCGUCCCUGAGGAAUGACAGAGACCUCUUCAGGGAGCAGCAAAUUCCAGAAAAGCAGGGAAAUUGUUAAGUGGUGGAGCCAAGAUUUGUACGCGGGUCACCUGGUUCCUGAGCCUCUUCUCUCAACUGCUGUACUGCUCAGCCUCUGAUGACAGACAGAAAGAACAUGAGGCCUCAGGGAGUUCUGAAGGUAUCCUAACAUCUUAACAGUCUCUUUGCUGGAAAGAAAUCUUCAGUGGCUCCCAUUACCUACGGAUCCAGCCUGGCUUUUUAGUCCAGCAUUCAAGACCUGUCAAGCUCUUCUGCAUCCUCUCGUAUGCAUGUGAUAGACAGGCACUCCACCUAGCGAAGUACAACCAUCCCAAACUUAUUCCUAUUACUUUUCUUCCAUUCAUUCGUUCAUACAAUCAAUCAGUCAUCAUUGAGGAUUUAUUAGACGAUAGGUUCUGGAGACAAAAAGGUAGAUAAAUACGACGCAGUCUUUGCUUUUGAGGACUGUAUCCCAGAUACAUCUGACUGGUUGUUCCUGCUGAAACAUUUUUCCACCUCCAUGCUUUUGCAUACACUACUUUCUCCACCUGGAAGACCCUCUCUGCAUUUCUGAACAUGCACUUUUAUUAACUGUCCACAGCUGCAGUGAGGCCUUCUUCAUGAAGCCUCUCCCAGUUCUCCGCCUCACCCCACCAAGCUGGAACUGAUCGCAGCCUCCAAACUCCCACAGCAAUCCUUUGCCUCCUCUUCUGACGCUACUCUUUCUCUCUUGGAUGAAAGCCGUGUGUAUCCAUGUUGGUUCUCCACUUCUAGAACCUGUCGUUUUGGGGCUGCAGGACUUGGUGGAUUCACACUGGCAUCCCCUCAGGAAGCAGAUCCUGGUGAUGAUCCUGCACAGUUGACAUAAUUACCACCACCUUCCCAGGUGCCGAAAUUGAGACUGAGAGAAAAACAAUCAGCCCCCGAUUUUACAGCUACAGAAUGCUGGAGCUGGAGCCUAGCGUCCUGACCCCUCUACUGCACUUACAGAUUUCUCCGGAUCUUGACUACAAUCCAAAGCAAUCGUGCUGGAACUAAGGAGAGCUGUAGCCUCAUCCAUCAGACUGAAUCUUUUACUUUUCUUCUGGCUGUUUGCAUGUUAUAAACAAAGCUACGAGUUACUCUUUUUUUCCAAGGUGGCACACAGUAACUGUGGGGAGGGUCAGAUGCUUUUCUUGGAGUACUGAUUCCAAGGAAAUACCUUAAUCUCAUUGAGUCAAUUCAUUAGCAGCUUCUAAGACUUUAAUCAACUAACAUUUCUGUGCUAAGUCAAAACCAAACUAUUUAAAAAUUUUUAAAAAAACAAUUUCUAAUGAACCUGACUCCCACUUAGAGUACUUCAGCUGAGAAUCUUUUUUGGCCCCUCCCUAAUUGUCUAAUUAAUGCAAUAUUAAAUUGACACCAAGCAAAUGGGAGCUGAAUUGUGUGCUAACAGUUUGGGCAAACUGAGAAGAAGUGUAAUUUCUGUGCAUAAGCCAGAUGGGAGCAGAGAAGAGGAAGGGAUAUGUGCAUGCUAAUUUGCAGUUUGACAAACUCCUUUUGUAAAAAUAAACACUUUUGCAGAAGUCUAAGGAAAGCAAA